UCUCCUGUUCCCGUCUGUUUCCUUUUCGGUUUGCAGUGUAAUUGUUUCUUUCUGGUUGACGAAUGUCAUCCAAGUCGUAACCUAUAAAGCGCUUCUAACAACUACAACAGACGUUUUCGUUAGUGUCCUACCUCCAACACUCCCUGCCACCAAAACCUAUGAACGAACUCGAUCUACUAACAAUACAAGGUGCCGGUAAGCGUAUCACCCAGCGCCUGUUGUAUAGGUGUUUUCUACUUUGUUAACAUGAACUGCCCUUUAGUUAAGGAGAGUUGGGACUUCGGCAUAGUAAUCAAGAACCAUAUGGUCGUCCGUCUUGUUUCUAGUCUCACGAUCUGCUCCUCACACCCUUUCGUCUCAAGGAUAGUGACAAACCCGAUUGUCUUGAAGGUAGGUAUUCAAAGAAACCCUUGUUCGAAUACUUCCUUCUUGACGGACUGCUACAAAUAGAAGCGACAAAGAACUGACAGCGUGAUCGUUGGAAGGACACAGGGUGUAGGUUGUGUUUCGGUUCGUGGUUUAUAAACCCUCGUGAACACCUACACAGUUUCAAUUUUCUAGAACUAACCACGAGAAAACAGGUAUGUACCUUAUAGAGGAUACAGUUCUUCAUGGUUUGUCUGUUCUACUUCGUCUUUGCCUAUUGUUGGUGAAACCCUCCGACGUAAAUAGUCGAUCGUCAAGCCACAGAUCUGAAGUUGUUAAAACCUAGUUAUUGUUAAGGUGGUCGUGAUGGGUCCCAAACAAAGACCUUUCCUGUUUGGUAAUUUGUAAAGUCACUAUACGAUUAACCCUUUCUACCUGAGAUACUUCGAGAAGUUUAUUUUCUACUCCGUCUUUGAACAAUACGUCUUUGACUGCCACGUACCCGUUCGUGGCGGUUCUUGAGUUUGUAGGCUUUUCGAUAUGUUUCCCAGAAUCCCUUGAGAAAAAGUCUAUUCUAGUUUCUUCUAUAUAAGGAGUUAAAGGUCCUCGCGCAUUUUCUAGUUUUGGCCUGCUGUACAGAGUAUCGUUUUGUUCACAACGACCUAUGAAACUUGUAACACAGAAGAAGAAAAUUACAGAGAGUUGUAUGUCUCUUCAAUCUCAGUAGGCUCGUGAACAUGUACGGUAGGCUACUUCUAUAACCCAGACCGUCAUGAUAAUCUCAACUAAGAUUACCCUAACUUUAACCGUCACUAGCUUCUCCGUCCUUCUUCUCUUACUUCUGCUCAAGUGUCGUCAGUUAUUGAAGUUGUUCAUUCCUACAUAACAACGUUCUAUUUUGUUUCGUUUCGUGUGGACUUCAACUGUUUGUUCCUCAGUUUCGACUUAACGUUGGUUAUGGCACCUUACCAGGAUAAUUACUCGUGUUUCUAGUUCUACUUUACCUUCAUUUAAAACUUUAACCAUUUCCUACAUGUGUAUGUCAACCUGUUAGUCACGCACGACUUACGUAACGUGACGUUGUUCUUCGGGUGUUCCCUCUUUCGUACUUGUUCCAACCGGGAGGAUUUGUGUUGGUUCUGUGUUUAUACAACCUGCCUGUAUCGUUGUAGGAGCUCUCGUCACAGUUACGAACAGGAUAACUUUAUCUUCGUGGUCUCUUUUGGUGAUCGGACUUGAUGUACGAUAAUAAUCGAUCUAACCGUUUUCGUCACUACCCGUGCUGUGUUCAAUUGUUAAGUUUCCUUCAUAGGUGCUCUCUACAUGCCUGUUCUAAAAGUCCCAAAGUUGUAUUGUAACAAUUGUUGUUAUUUUGUGUCGUAACGUAUCUGUGAUCAUGGUACCUCGUUACUUUGCUCUUCGUUCGUCACCAUAGACUUACACACGUUGUAGUUUUGUUGUAACUGUUUCCACAAAAAGGUCUAGCUUUGUGACGCUUAUUACAGUCGUUAAUGUUCUUCGUGCAACUUGAACUAUAUCUAUAGUUGUAUCGUGAUAGUUUGUUACUAUUCGUUCUUGUACAGUUUCUCAAUGUCCUGUGAAACGUAGGUAAUCUAUAACGUUCCGUUUUCAUAAAGAAGUGUCUACUGCGCUGUGGAUCGACGUCUUAAGAAAGUCUGAUACUGCUAACACCCUCAGUUUAUUGUCUCGGUCUUAACACCGCGGGUAAUCUCUACUUGAGCCUUCUGAUAUUACGAGUUUAUCUCCUUCGUUUCUUUUUUAUAGGUACGUUAUGUUCGUUCCUACCGUAGCUUCCUGUGUGGGGCGUCCUACUCGUUCUUCACGUUCCUCUAAGGAGGUAUGUCACACGCGUCUCUGUCGGACACAGGUGUCCGUAAACGUUCAUAUCUCUGAAAGAAGGUAUCAAACUUCUUUUCCUACCGUAGUAGCUGAACUGUAGCGGACAACGUGCGUACAGUGUGUGAACCCUGUCUCGUUGUUGUACGAUGAGGGGUUUCCCGUUUACCCUGUCACUCUUGCUACUUUCAGGAUGUGUGUUCGUGUUCUUCUCUAUAAGUUGUUGUUGUUAAAACCCCUUUUCCGAAAAAAGUCUACUCGAACUACUUUUACUACUUGUUCUUCCGUGAUUUGUGGUUGGUUAGGGACACAAAGGCCUACAAGUUUAAAACCCCCUCUCUAGUAAGUUGCCAAGUACGAGAUCAUACCAUUUGUGCCGCCUGUUAAAUAUGUUGUGCUUCGAUAGUAAUCCGUGAAGUAGUUCACCAUUUCUCUUAAACGCAGGUUUUUCCUAUUGUGUGGGUUCGUUCACCGAGAGGAGUGGUAUACUAGUGUUACUCUCUCCUGGAGAAGUCCGUGUACUCUAUCUCGAUGUGUCCCCGUAUCAAAAUGAUUCGUUUCAACUUGGAGUGUCUUCGUUUCACCAACACAACUAACUGUUUUGUUGGGAAAAGGAACCUGUUGAACCACUAAGUAAACCACGCUGACCAGUGCAGCUUCGAAUACAAAAGUUGCAAAAGACAGCCUACGAGAAAGCUCUGUUAGUAGGUUCCUCUAGUUUUUGCGUGAUGAAGAAGUGAUGUGAUCCACUAAUAAAAGAAGUUUUAACCUUUAGACUUCUUCCUUCCUCCCUUUACUUCUCUUUUCGUGAAUCUUCGAAGUUACCUCGACCCUUUCGUAACGGAGAUGUGCUUUCACUAGCAUAGAAGAAAGGCAGUCAUGUACGACUCGUGACCAAGAACAAGCAACAACUGUAAUAUCGUUCUUUCAAACAGAAGGAUCUAAGUAUAAUACUUCCCUUGUGUGGUAAGGUGUAGCCCUAGUCUCUAAACUACUAUUUGUUAAAGUAUUUUUGUACCCUUCUAAAGUUAGACUCUCCUUACCCAAAGUCUUUCAAACCACAUCUCAUGGGUUUGUACGGUUUCGUUUAUCCUUCGCUGCGAACACCCUAAAAACGAGAAUUGACCUACGUUUGCACCCGAAGCGCUUUAGGAGACGUCGCUGUCAAGUGCUACUUGCUACAUCGUCUGCGUUCCCAGUCUAAACGACAACUGUAAGACAAAUCAUAAGUGUUGUCUCUCCUAGUUCCGUUUUUUGAGUAGUUCUUGAAGCGUACCAUUUAACUUCCAGUUCGUUGGUUGGUUCGUGUUGUAAAAGAUAUUACGUACCUCCUUAUGAUGUUCUUCCAGAAAAUCGUUCUACUAGUUUUUGUUAGUGUUUUCAGUUGUAGUGUUUCACAGGCCACAUGUACCUCCUUGAUAUACUAAAAGAAAAAGAAAACUUUCGCUUAGGUUCAACAUAUCGUCACAGUAUCUUUGACCAGUAAUUGGUCUUUUGUUACGUCUUACACAGUACAACAAAAGUCUAGUUAUAGUUUUGUAGCAAAAAAC
rnacentral:rRNA from 1 species